AUUAAGUAGACAUAUCCAUAUCUACUGUAAUCAUCAAUAAAAGUCAAAUAAUAACGAUUAGCAUCCCUUGUGGCAUGUUUGAAGGGCCCACACACAUUUGUGUGUACAAGAUCCAACAAACCUUCACCCCUCUCACAAGAGCCUGUGAAGGGUGACUUUGUCAUUUUUCCAAGUAAGAAUGAUUCUCAACUAUCAUUUGACUUUAGGUCAAAUGACUCCAAGACUCCAUCCUUUUGUAGUUGACCUAUGUGUUUCUUGCUUAUAUGUCCAAGACGAUAAUGCCAUAAUGAUGCUUUAUCCAAGUUAUUAUUAAUAGAAUCAAUACACAAUACAUUAUUUCCUAAGUUAUCAACCACAUAUACUGUCUCAUACAAGCCAUCACAAGGUAAUGCUUUAAAAUAAAGAACAUUAUUAAAGAAAGCAUUAAUAGAACCAACUUCAUUAUCAAAUGAAAAGGUGAAACCUUGUUUAUACAAUGCAUGAAAGGAAAUAAUAUUUCUUGCCAUUUCUGGCGAAUAACAACACUUAUUCAAAUCUAAACUAAACCCACUACUUAGCGAUAAAGUAUAAACUCCAAUCUUGGUGACAGGUAAAGCUUUCCUAUUCCCCAUGAUUAAGUUUAUUCUUCCAUGCUCCACAUUCUCACUUCUUCUUAGUCCCUGCAAAUCAGAACAUAUAUGAAUACCACAACCGGUAUCAAGGACCCAAGAGUUAGAAUGGGGUGAGUUAUUAGAUAAGAUAGUGUAAAUACCUGCAUGGUUGGGUUUAACUNAGAUAGAAUAACUUACCUUGUUGUUGCUUAUGUUCCUUGAAACCUUGUGAGCCUAGCACCCCAAGUGUGAUGCCUCAAAUGCUUCACACAACACCAAAUGCUCUUGGAAAGACUUUUGAGAGAACACACACUUCUUAAAAUCGGCCUAUCCCUCUUGUUUCAUAUAUGUGUAGCCGAUUUUGGUGGAGAAUGGGACUCUUAUAUUGUGUUGACACAUCUAGGGUUACACNNNNNNNNNNNNNNNNNNNNNNNNNNNNNNNNNNNNNNNNNNNNNNNNNNNNNNNNNNNNNNNNNNNNNNNNNNNNNNNNNNNNNNNNNNNNNNNNNNNNNNNNNNNNNNNNNNNNNNNNNNNUUAGCCCACUAUACAAGAUAUGGAUGAUUUACUUAAUCAACCCAUAUAUUUAAUUAGUUAUCUUUUGAUCACUUAAUUAAUUCUAAAUUAAUUCUUGAUCAAACUAAUCAAAUAAUAUUAUUAAUAUAUUAGAACUUAUAAUAUAUUAAUAAUCUCCAAGUGUUAUUUCUCUCAUUUAGUUUAUCCAAUUGCAUGGUGCCAUGCAACCCAAAUGGACCAUGCCGGGUCGGGUCAAGUACUUACCCGAAAUAGUUAUGGACUUAGACACCUUAUCCAACAGUCUCCCACUUGGAUAAGUCUAAUAACUAUAACUGCAAUACUUCAGUAACCGAUCGACAAUCGUAGCUCUUUCAAGGUCUCUCGGAACUGAGAAGAUGUUGAUACGCUAUUUAAGAUAAGUGAUCAUAUAAUCCUCUGUUCUAGAACAGAGGAUUAUAUGAUCAAUAGAUAAUCUUAUUUCUGACCGGGCCCGGUACAUUGGUCAAAAAAAAAUCAUCAAGGGGCCCAGAUAUCAGCUUCUAAUCCAAGAAGGAACAGAUAAACUUCGACUCAUAUGUUUGUUCUACCACUCAUUGAAUUGUACACAUAAGCAUGUUUUAUAACAUCGAGUUACCAAUGCGUUUUUCGUACAAUCAAUGCAUAACCAACUCGUAAGUAACAAAUCAUAUCUCUAGGUUUAAAGACUUAUAUGAUAUUACCGUCUCACGAUCACUCGAGAUAAAUUCCAUGAAGUGAUUCCAGUGAGCGUGGGUUGAGUCCAAUGCUCAGAACUUAUGAGCACUCAUGAUUGUUGUAGCCUUGUCCAACACCUUAGACCUCUGCAACCAAUCAUGACAGUCUUGAUUCAUACCUACUUCCGACAUAUGACCGACUGUGGAGGUUUGAAUAAUAUGUUAUACCAAACAAAAUUAUUCUGGAAGUCAAAACAUGCAAAAGAAAUAUAGUAAACGAUCGACAAGAGAUAGCAACACUUUACUCAUAAAUAAAACACCUUUUAUUUAUCAUCUAAUGUCAAUUACACUUUACAAAUUUCGAGGUUAUCUAACUAGUAAAUCUACUAUCAUCCUUUAGCCCUAUGCUCCGAGCAUGCUGGAGAAGCUUAACCCGAUUCAGUCCCUUCGUGAGGGGAUCUGCUCGAUUCUCAUCCGAUGAUACCCUCUUUGCUACAAGGAGUCCUUCUUCUAUUCGAUGUCUGAUAAAAUGGUAUUUCCUGUCGAUGUGUUUGGAUCUCCCGUGAUCCCUUAGUUCCUUGGCUAACGCAACAACGCUUUCACUAUCAAAGAAAAUUUCCAUUGGCUCUUUAAUAGCUGGUACAACUCCAAGGUCUCCAAUGAAGUUCUUCAGCCAUAUCGCCUCCUUUGCUGCCUCGCUAGCUGCAAUAUACUCUGAUUCACAAGUUGAAUCAGCCACUGUCUCUUGCUUGGAACUCUUCCAAGAAAUUGCUCCUCCAUUUAGGGUAAAGACCCAGCCUGACUGAGAGCGGAAAUUAUCCCUAUCAGUCUGGAAGCUAGCAUCACUAUACCCUACAACUCUCAAGUCAUCACUCCCACCGAGGGUAAGGACCCAGUCCUUAGUCCUCCGUAGGUACUUGAGGAUAUUCUUUACCGCAGUCCAGUGUGCCUUGCCAGGGUUCGCCUGAUACCUGCUAACCAUGCUCAAGGCAAAGGCUACAUCGGGUCGAGUACACGUCAUAGCAUACAUGAUCGAUCCUACAGCCGAAGCAUAAGGUGUUCGACUCAUUUCUGCUAUCUCAGCCUCAGUGCUAGGGCUUUGUGUCUUACUCAAUCUGGCAUUACUCUGGAUGGGUAACUCUCCUUUCUUGGAGUCCUGCAUGCUGAAUCUCUUCAGCACCUUAUCCAAGUAGGUACUCUGACUAAGUCCAAUUAGUCUUUUACUCCGGCCUCUCAAGAUCAUUAUCCCUAGUAUAUAGGUAGCUUCUCCUAGGUCCUUCAUAGAGAAACACUUCCCAAGCCAGGACUUUACUUCGAGCAGAGUUGGGAUGUCAUUUCCUAUGAGUAGUAUGUCAUCCCCAUACAAUACCCAAAAGCUAACUAUACUCCCACUAGCCUUCACAUACACACAAGAUUCAUCUUCACUCCUAGAAAAGCCAAAUUCCUUGACUUUCUCAUCAAAGCAAAGAUUCCAUAUGCGAGGUGAUUGCUUUAAUCCAUAAAUGGAUUUCUCAAGCUUACACACUCUAUUAGGGUUCUCGUUGCAGACAAAACCUUCUGGCUGACUCAUGUAAACAUCUUCAGCCAGCUUUCCAUUAAGGAAAGCGGUUUUGACAUCCAUUUCCAAUAUUUCGUAGUCAUGAAAUGCAGCUAUGGCUAACAGAACCCUAAUAGACUUAAUCGUGGCCACUGGAGAAAAGGUCUCAUCAUAAUCAACUCCUGGAGUUUGUGAGAAGCCCUUUGCAACCAGUCGUGCCUUAUAAGUGUGUACAUUACCAUCCAUGUUAGUCUUCUUAUUGAAGAUCCAUUUGCACCCUACUGUCUUACGACCUGGUACAUUCUCAACCAAGUUCCAAACUUGAUUGUCAUACAUGGAUUGUAUCUUGCUGUCCAUUGCCUCUUUCCAUUUGGAUGACUCAGGGCCUGCCAUGGCUUCUGUGUAACUGUUAGGUUCAUGCAUACCUAUCAGUGUCUCAUCAUUGAUAAGUGUAUCACCUUCUACAUUAAUAUGGAAUCCAUAGCAAUGCUCAGGUGCAUUCCUAACCUUUGUGGAACACCUCAGAGGUACAGGCUUGUCAAUUGGCUCAACAUGAGUUUCCUCCUCAAGUUGAGUGCUAGGGUUUGAAGUUCCUUCACCGCCUGAAUCUUGAACUUCUUCAAGAUCAACUUUCCUCCCACUAUCUCCUUGGCUUAUAAACUCUCUCUCUCUCUCUCUCUAAAGAAAGCCCUCCUACCUACAAAGACACAUUUUCACUAGGUCUGUAGAAGAGGUAACCAAAGGAUUGUUGUGGGUAGCCGAUGAAAAUACACCUCUCGCUUCGAGGUUCGAGCUUAUCAGGAGUCUCGCGUCUCACGAAAGCCUCGCAUCCCAAAAUCUUAAUGUGGUCUAGUUUGGGUACUUUAUAAGUCCACAUCUCAUGAGGAGUUUUGGCAAGUUUCUUUGUAGGGACAAGAUUAAGGAUAUGGGAGGCAGUCUCUAAGGCAUACCCCCAGAAUGAGAUUGGUAGCGAAGCUCGACUCAUCAUGGAACGAACCAUAUCCAACAAGGUUCGAUUAUGCCUCUCAGCCACACCAUUCAGCUGCGGUGUCCUGGGAGGUGUCAAUUGUGAGACAAUCCCACAUUCCCUAAGAUAGUCGAGGAACUCUGAACUAAGAUACUCACCACCUCGAUCGAAUCGAAGCAUCUUAAUGUUCUUUCCUAAUUGAUUCUCGACUUCUUGUUUAAAUUCCAUAAACUUUUCGAAAGUCUAUGACUUAUGCUUGAUUAAGUAGACAUGUCCAUAUCUACUGUAAUCAUCAAUAAAAUUCAAAUAAUAACGAUUAGCAUCCCUUGUGGCAUGUUUGAAGGGCCCACACACAUCCGUGUGUACAAGAUCCAACAAACCUUCACCCCUCUCACAAGAACCUGUGAAGGGUGACUUUGUCAUUUUUCCAAGUAGGAAUGAUUUGCAACUAUCAUCUGACUUUAGGUCAAAUGACUCCAAGACUCCAUCCUUUUGUAGUUGGCCUAUGCGUUUCUUGCAUAUAUGUCCAAGAUGACAAUGCCAUAAUGAUGCUUUAUCCAUGUUAUUAUUAACAGAAUCAAUACACAAUACAUUAUUUCCUAAGUUAUCAACUGCAGAUACUGUUUCAUACACGUCAUCACAAGGUAAUGCUUUAAAAUAAAGAACAUUAUUAAAGAAAGCAUUAAUAGAACCAACUUCAUUAUCAAAUGAAAAGGUGAAACCUUGUUUAUACAAUGCAUGAAGGAAGAUAAUAUUUCUUGCCAUUUCUGGCGAAUAACAACACUUAUUCAAAUCUAAACUAAACCCACUACUUAGUGAUAAAGAGUAAACUCCAAUCUUGGUGACAGGUAAAGCUUUCCUAUUCCCCAUGAUUAAGUUUAUUCUUCCUUGCUCCACAUUCUCACUUCUUCUUAGUCCCUGCAAAUCAGAACAGAUAUGAAUACCACAACCGGUAUCAAGGACCCAAGAGUUAGAAUGGGGUGAGUUAUU
rnacentral:lncRNA from 1 species